UCUCAAGUGAACAUUCCCAUUAACUUGCAUGGGGUACUUGCAUGAAUAAAGACUACACAGGUUUGAAAAGAACCCUGUAUUUUUGUAUUAUUUCAGAGAUUAGAGGCUAUGCAUCCACAGUCCAUGCUGGUCUUGGGAUUGGAUACUGUACCAGAAAUCAAACCCAGGUCUCCUGCCCAUCACUGCAGAGUACUGCAAAUGGGUGGCUGAAAUAAUUGUGAUUGAGAAAGUGAAAGAGACAGCAGCCAGAUCAUCAGAUGAUGUAAAUCAGUGUUGUCUGUUGUCACCAGCAGAGCGUUGAUGAUUGAGGACCUGGUCCACAAAAUGUGUAGUUUGGUUGCAUCUACUUACAAAACUUGUAAAAUAAAUUGAUUAGUGCGGUAUUGGCUUUAAGAGCAUUCACAUAUUUGUACUAAGGACCAGAGAUACUUUAUACAAUAAUAUGAUGUACACGUCUUAAGCUUGUAUACAUCCUCUGAUUGUAUACUAAUUUUAUAGCAUUUACAUUUGAUACAUGUGUUCAGAUUUCUGAUUCAUUUUAUAAUCUGUUUCUUCCCAGUCCAUUUAUAUUGUUCCAGACUGAGAACACUAAAGAAGAUGAAGAAUAUCAUUAUACUUCUUUGCAGUCUGGCAAUAGUCUGGGCUACUCCAUUAAGUCUCUUAAAAAUCUUCUUUAGUGGGGACUACAUAAUCAAUCCCUUACCCAUACUGGCGAGCAAUUACUCCCAUGAAUAGUCCCACUGAAGCCACAGGGGACCAUCUGAAUACAUCGAGGUGAAAAGGAGAAUGACAGCAUUGCUGGAGAACACCAAGCGAGCUAUGCGAUUUCCCCCCACCUUCCCCGUGGCUCAACUCCACACCCAGGCGGAGAUGCUAUUGACAUACAUGUGUAUUUGCGUUCUCCAGAAAAGCCAGAAGUGACAAAACAGGAGCCAGAUAAUGAAAGCACCAAUGACUGCAACAAGAAUGAAGUUGCUAUGAAUGGUGGCAACAUUGGUGAUGGAAUGGUAAAGUAAACACUGGUGACACUGGAAGUGGAAAUGGCAGCGCUAAAGGUGACUGGCAAUGUGACUGGCAAUCCAAAUGCAAACAGCCAGAAGAGUGAACCCAGAGGUACCAAUGAGAAGUCUGGCAACAUCAGCAGUGAAGACAAUGAUGAAAUGCAUGAUUCUAAUGAACUCAUACAAGGGGAUGGCCCCACUGACAGCAAUGAAUCUGAUGGCUCUGUCAGUACUGAGAAAGGAUGAUGAUUAAAAUCCUGAUAGUGAGAACAAGUGCAGUAGCCAGCAAGAUGAUACCAGCGAGUCCAAGGAAUCGGGCAGUGAGGACCAUGAAAGCACAUCAUUAAGAGAUAACGAGGAUACAGAUAGUGACAAUUACAGCAGCGAGAGUGACAGUGACACCAAAUCAGACAGUAGUGAUAGCGACAGUGAUACUUGUAGUGACAACAAAUCAGAUGGCAGCAACUGUGAUAGCACUAGUGACAGUGAUGGCAAAUCAGACAGCACUGAUAGAACUAGUGACAGUGAAUCAGAUGGUAGUGAAGGUGACAGCAAGUCAGAUAGGAGUGAGCGUGCACCUAAUAUUAAUGAAAGUAGUGGUGAUAACAGUGGCAAUUCACCCCAUACAGAACUCCCAAGUGACAGUGAAUCUGAGGAAAAUGACAGUGAUGGUAGCACAAAGUCAGAAGACAAAGACUGUAAGAGCGAAAGCCAAUCAUAAAGUGAAGGCAGUAAUAGCAAGGACUCAACAAGUGAUGAUUAGAACUGGGGAAAUGAAAAUCCGUAGUGACAUUGACUCUAAUUUACAGCAAAUGGAAUUUGUGUAGGUGGGAAG